rnacentral:rRNA from 1 species
GACGAACGCUGGCGGCGUGCUUAACACAUGCAAGUCGAACGGAAAGGCCCUGCUUGCGGGGUACUCGAGUGGCGAACGGGUGAGUAACACGUGGGUGAUCUGCCCUGCACUUCGGGAUAAGCCUGGGAAACUGGGUCUAAUACCGGAUAGGAGCCAUUUUUAGUGUGAUGGUUGGAAAGUUUUUCGGUGUAGGAUGAGCUCGCGGCCUAUCAGCUUGUUGGUGGGGUAAGUGGCCUACCAAGGCGG